UGGAAGUUAGGCAGGCAAAAAGGUCUACUCGGGAAAAAGACUCUGUUGAGGAGCAACAGCAGAAGAGAAUGCGGCAAACACUUACUGAACCCACUGAGGAAGGAUUUGAUGUGGAUGAUGGGUUUGGCAAUAAAGCAGUUUCUAUGAGAAGUGAUGGGAGUGACACUGAUGGGACUGGGGAUGAGAUAGAUUGGACAAAAGUAGCAGAAGUGAGAGAAGUGUGUGAGGAGCCUACAAGUAGUGACACAUUCAGAGGGUUUGUUGGGGAUGGAACUUGGAGGGAGGAUGAUCUGUCUGCUGUUUGGGAAGAUGUAAGUAGAAGCAGGAGAAGGGCUGCUUGGCAGACAAGGCAAAGAGAAGCUCCGGCAGCAGAACUGGCAGCUGAGCGUGCGGUGUUGUCUGAUUCUCGUUUGGAGGAGAAUGCAGGAGCAGCUGAGGGUGGGGCGUUGUCUGAUUGCUGCUCAGAGGAAGGUUUGUAAUAUAAGGUGGGUUGGUUGCAAUGGGGACUUUGCGACUAGCAAAGUGUAUGCUGAGUUGUCUGCUACACUGGGUCGUGACUUUGUGAAAUUGAGGUUACCAGUACUUAGCUACCAUGAAGAUAUAUUAUACGUCUGUCUUGAUUAUCUGCAUAGCUCUCCUCACUGGUACAGAGUGCACCAAAGGGAAAAAAAUCAAUGAUUCUUUUGAGUGUUUAGAUGCAGGAGGUAGAUGUGAAAAAAAGGAGUGCUUCUUAUCAAAAAAGAUUGGCAAUUGUUCCAAGAAAGAGAUAUGUUGCAAAGGGAAUUCAUGGGACUGAAGUUACAAGGACUUGAAAUCUACAUCUAAAAGAAGCUGCAGGAACUAAUGACUGAGACCAAUGACUGAGAUCCAACCCUUUUUUCAUUAAUCAAUUGCAUAGCUAUCCACAUCAUUGAAAUUGCUUCUGUCUCCUUGCCUUCUAUAGAUGUGGAGAAGGAAGAUUCAAGCUAAUUCUUAUGAUUCCCUAAUACUUUCCUUCUUACUGCUUGGAUGUGGUUCUGCACAAAGUUGUUCGCAUAUUUUAACAAAUAAAGUGCAACGGGUCUAUCUAUGAACACAGAACUUAGGCCAAAGUUUUAUAUGCAUGACAUUCAACAUACUGGUUCUUCCCGCUUAAAAUCAUACAAAUGAUUAUAUGUUUUAUGCUCUAGACCCUCAUCACAAAAAUAAAGUGAUUGGAAAUGCA